rnacentral:rRNA from 1 species
AGUCGAGCGGGGAAGGGUAGCUUGCUACCUGACCUAGCGGCGGACGGGUGAGUAAUGCUUAGGAAUCUGCCUAUUAGUGGGGGACAACAUUCCGAAAGGAAUGCUAAUACCGCAUACGCCCUACGGGGGAAAGCAGGGGAUCUUCGGACCUUGCGCUAAUAGAUGAGCCUAAGUCAGAUUAGCUAGUUGGUGGGGUAAAGGCCUACCAAGGCGACGAUCUGUAGCGGGUCUGAGAGGAUGAUCCGCCACACUGGGACUGAGACACGGCCCAGACUCCUACGGGAGGCAGCAGUGGGGAAUAUUGGACAAUGGGCGAAAGCCUGAUCCAGCCAUGCCGCGUGUGUGAAGAAGGCCUUUUGGUUGUAAAGCACUUUAAGCGAGGAGGAGGCUACUUGGAUUAAUACUCUAGGAUAGUGGACGUUACUCGCAGAAUAAGCACCGGCUAACUCUGUGCCAGCAGCCGCGGUAAUACAGAGGGUGCGAGCGUUAAUCGGAUUUACUGGGCGUAAAGCGUGCGUAGGCGGCUUUUUAAGUCGGAUGUGAAAUCCCUGAGCUUAACUUAGGAAUUGCAUUCGAUACUGGGAAGCUAGAGUAUGGGAGAGGAUGGUAGAAUUCCAGGUGUAGCGGUGAAAUGCGUAGAGAUCUGGAGGAAUACCGAUGGCGAAGGCAGCCAUCUGGCCUAAUACUGACGCUGAGGUACGAAAGCAUGGGGAGCAAACAGGAUUAGAUACCCUGGUAGUCCAUGCCGUAAACGAUGUCUACUAGCCGUUGGGGCCUUUGAGGCUUUAGUGGCGCAGCUAACGCGAUAAGUAGACCGCCUGGGGAGUACGGUCGCAAGACUAAAACUCAAAUGAAUUGACGGGGGCCCGCACAAGCGGUGGAGCAUGUGGUUUAAUUCGAUGCAACGCGAAGAACCUUA